rnacentral:ncRNA from 2 species
ACGAUCCCUGCGGGAGAGACCGGCGGCCGCAAGGUACGCCGGCGCCGAAGGCGCAACCGCCCCGGAACCGCUCAGGCCCAAGGACCGCAGGGGGACG